rnacentral:rRNA from 1 species
UACGUAGGGAGCAAGCGUUGUCCGGAAUCAUUGGGCGUAAGCGCGCGUAGGCGGCCCGAUAAGUCCGCUGUGAAAGUCAACGGCUCAACUGUUGGAUGCCGGUGGAUACUGUCGGGCUAGAGUACGGAAGAGGCAAGUGGAAUUCCUGGUGUAGCGGUGGAAUGCGACAGAUAUCAGGAGGAACGACCGGUGGCGAAGGCGGGUCUCUGGGCCGAUACUGACGCUGAGGAGCGAAAGCGUGGGGAGCGAACAGG